rnacentral:rRNA from 1 species
GAUGAACGCUCGCUACAGGCUUAACACAUGCAAGUCGAGGGGAAACGACAUCGAAAGCUUGCUUUUGAUGGGCGUCGACCGGCGCACGGGUGAGUAACGCGUAUCCAACCUGCCCAUCACUUGGGAAUAACCUUGCGAAAGUAAGACUAAUACCCAAUGACAUCCCACGAAGACAUCUGAAUGGGAUUAAAGAUUUAUCGGUGAUGGAUGGGGAUGCGUCUGAUUAGCUUGUUGGCGGGGUAACGGCCCACCAAGGCAACGAUCAGUAGGGGUUCUGAGAGGAAGGUCCCCCACAUUGGAACUGAGACACGGUCCAAACUCCUACGGGAGGCAGCAGUGAGGAAGAUUGGUCAAUGGGCGAGAGCCUGAACCAGCCAAGUAGCGUGCAGGAUGACGGCCCUAUGGGUUGUAAACUGCUUUGAUAAGGGAAUAAAGUGGGUCUCGUGAGACUUUUUGCAUGUACCUUAUGAAUAAGGACCGGCUAAUUCCG